ACAGGUUCUGCUUGGGGAAAAAAAAAAGUGAGGUGAGUUGUUCUGUUUCUUACUGGCCUGAUCCCUGGAGUGAAGACACUUCUACUCGAAGAAGAAGAAGUAGUUUGAGUUUUAAAGAAAGUGGUGAGCCGAGUGGCCAGUCUUCCCUUGGUCCGCUCUACCUACAACAUGGUGUACAUGGCCUACUCUUCCACCAAAGAGGCACCCCUGCAUCAGAUCUGUGUGUGGUGUGGCAGAGAGAGGGGUGAAGACCAUGGCUGAAAUGGCAGUCUGCUGUUGACUCGAACCUUCUGAGUUGAUUCUGUGAAGCAGGGAGUUGAUCAUAAGCUUUCGGUGCAACUUUUUCCUGGCCAUCCUAACGUUGGUGGAUUGGAGCAGGAAUCUUCCAAAAGGGAAUGUAGACCCGCUGUACAGAGCUUGAGAAGAUGGAAUCUUUGGCUCUUGUCAUGUCCCACAAGAUCACGCAGCAGCUGCAGGACACCUUUCUGAGCCUAGAGUCUAUGAUCCAAGCCCUUCCCUUCAGCAUUCAGGACAAGAUGAAAUGGGCCUAUUGCAAUGUUGCAGAGCUUCAUGCUUCCUUCUCUGCUGCCAGGUCCUUCCAGGAUGUGUCCAGCAAUAUCCUGAUCCAGAGCCAAGAGAAGAUGGCCAUGGCCGAAAAAUACAUGGAUGAGCUGCUGGUAUAUCUGAAGCAUAACACCCACCUCUUUUGGCUUGUGGGAUUAGUCUCACCAAUGGUCAAAGCUUCUGCUACCUUUCAGGAAGCUGACCAGGUGGAAGAGGAGUCGGGACUAGCCUGCAGAUACCUCCAUGUAAGGACUUGAGUAACACAUCUGUUCACCACUGCCACAUCCAUGUAAUGGCAAUGUCCUUGUGGCUUUAAUCACUCAACCCCAUACCAUGUGUGGCUUGCACUGGAAAGGCAGCUCUGGGUGACGAGACGACUCCUGCAAACUAUGGUGACUGACUUUGGCAAUGUGCCUAAACAUCACUGUGUUCAAAUAGCCAUGCUGGAGUAGCUUUCUGAGACCAGGGCUUCUGUGACCAUGAUGCACUUGCGUAUGAAGUACCUAAAGAGAAAAUACAAAAGGAUGUAGUCUAACUAUUCUAGCAAGUUUAAAGAGGAAUUUUAUACCGGGGUAAAGACUGUACUUGGUGUAGUACUAAAUUGACUUAUCAGUUCCGCUUGCCCUCCUGCUAAGGUGUUAGCCAAGUAGCAAGGGAGUAAGCAGAGGCCUGUACUUUCAGCAGAACGCAACAGAAGACUUUCCCCUAGAACACUGCUAUCCUUGAUAGGCUAAAAGCAGAAUUUAGACUGAAUUUGUAACCAUUAACUUUGCUGUUAGGGAUGUCCCAUCCCUCUGCUAGUCUUAAGCACUUGUUGAAAGACUUGUUCCUUUAGGGGAAGUAUUGUAGCUAGUAGCAGAAGGUCUAUGAUUCAGGUGUAAGAAUGAUACUGACCAAUGGAAAGUGGAUGUUUUUGUUUGUUUUUCUUUCUGAUAUUUCUACUUCAAAAAAUAAACCUUCACAUCAUACAAACAUUUCUUGGCUAGAUUUCCUUGUUCUUCCCCUUCCCCUAGCUAACUAAGAAAGAGUGCUUGACCAUUGAAGAGAUUUUCAAAGACCUAGUAUAUCCCGUCGAAAGCUUGAAAUAAUAAUCAGUGCAGUUAUGGAAUUCUAGUCUGAUAAACCAACUUCUAGUACUGCAUCCAGCAUAGUUUGGGUAUUGCAUUGCUGAGUUUAUGGGGGAUUAGGGUAAGAGCCUUUUGGCAAUUCAUCACCUCCAAAUUCCACUUUCUGGCCAACUCUACUGGUAGGAGAUGGGAAGAAAAGAAUUAUGGGUUACAGCUGGGUGAAACUUUUUUGAGUAACUCAUUUACCAAAACAAGGCCACUUAAAGCUGACAACAGCUAUUUGUGAGUUCAAUACUAAUCCACUGUAUGGCUUCAGCAACCAAUUGUUUGGGUAGCUUCGCCAAACAGGAGGAGGCAGAGGAGCACCUUC